GACGAACCGUGCGAACGUUAUUCGGAAUCACUGGGCUUAAAGCGCGUGUAGGCGGGUCGGAACGUCGGUCGCUGAAAUCCCCCGGCUCAACCGGGGAAGGGGCGCCGAUACGGCCGGCCUCGAGGGACGUAGGGGGGGCUGGAACUUCCGGUGGAGCGGUGAAAUGCGUUGAGAUCGGAAGGAACGCCCGUGGCGAAAGCGAGCCCCUGGACGUCUACUGACGCUGAGACGCGAAAGCCAGGGGAGCGAACGGG
rnacentral:rRNA from 1 species